rnacentral:rRNA from 1 species
UACGUAGGGUGCGAGCGUUGUCCGGAAGUAUUGGGCGUAAAGAGCUCGUAGGCGGUGUGUCACGUCGGCCGUGAAAACCUGCAGCUUAACUGUGGGCGUGCGGUCGAUACGGGCAUCACUGGAGUUCGGCAGGGGAGACUGGAAUUCCUGGUGUAGCGGUGAAAUGCGCAGGUAUCAGGAGGAACACCGGUGGCGAAGGCGGGUCUCUGGGCCGAUACUGACGCUGAGGAGCGAAAGCGUGGGGAGCAAACAGG